UAGCGCUCUUUGAGCCGGAGCUCGUGAUCUAUCGGGGAGCAAUGACCGUAGAUGUUCUGACACAGCUGGCCCGCGAUAUUAAAAAUGCUAUAAAAGCCAAUGUGCAGACCGAGAUGGCACUCCUGGAGAAGAAACCAAUAACCACUUUUCUAGAUCACCACUUGCUGGAUCGUGGUGGUCUGGAGCCUGUUCCAAAAGAACUUCGCACCCUGUCAGUCCGGCACAGAGCAAUCACACAUACACUCAUUCAUUCGCUCAUUCACACAAGGCAAGUUAGAGUCCCUGGUUCACCUGAAAAUGUGUCUAUGGGCUGAGAGGAACCACAUGCAAAAACAGGGAGAACUUAAACUCCAUGCAGACUGAGCUGGAUUUAAACACGGGUCUGAACCUACAUCGCAGAAGGAGCUGUGCGACACCAUCACAUCCACUGUCCCAUCGUUCCACCCAGGAAACUUGGCCAAAUGGGCUGAGCUUCAGCAAGUGGUCUGUCUCCUUUCAAUUUGGCAUCAAGUAGAAUGAGUUGAAGAAACACUGAGAUGCUGCUGAACCAGCAAUUGGAACAGAUUGGCCUGGUGCAGGAAAGUCUGGAAGGACAUUUAUUCCCCAUGUUAAACAGCAUACAACCUCUGCUCUUUUCAACAAACUUUCUUUUUAUCUACUUUCUCUACUCUUUCCUUUCACUCACUCACUCACACUUACCAAACGUCUAUGAAGAAGGAAGGUGAGAUGAGGUCUCUUCACCAAUGUCUGCUAUUCUAUUACUGUAUUACUUCAUCAGGGCUUAGGACAGAGCUCAGCAACUUAUUUGUAAAGGGGCCACAAUCCACCAAGUUUCAGAGAAUAACUUUUCAUUAGAACCUACAGUAUUUUACACUUACAAUACAUGAGCUGAAGGGAGGC